rnacentral:other from 1 species
GACGGUCUGCGCCUCGCGGCAGGAGUAACAUUCCCCGGGGCCUUAUUGAUCCCAAGGGAGCUGUCCCUGGCCGGGCUCGUGGGCUCGGACAUACGGCGCCCACCUACUUUGUAGGCACCCGGGAUCAACCUCUCCACCGGUGUGUGCGGAUCGUCG